rnacentral:rRNA from 1 species
GACGAACCGUGCGAACGUUGUUCGGAAUCACUGGGCUUAAAGGGCGCGUAGGCGGGCCUCCAAGUCCUGGGUGAAAGCCCCCCGCUCAACGGGGGAAGGGCCUGGGAUACUGGAGGCCUCGAGGGAGGUAGGGGCGCGCGGAACUUCCGGUGGAGCGGUGAAAUGCGUAGAUAUCGGAAGGAACGCCGGUGGCGAAAGCGGCGCGCUGGACCUCCUCUGACGCUGAGGCGCGAAAGCCAGGGGAGCAAACGGG